GGAACAGCUGGAUAAUGUCCACCCCGAGCCGAUUCAAGAAGGACAAAGAGAUCAUAGCCGAGUAUGAAAGUCAAGUCAAAGAAAUUCGAGCUCAACUGGUAGAACAACAAAAAUGCCUGGAGCAGCAAACAGAGAUGCGAGUUCAGCUUCUCCAGGACCUGCAAGAUUUCUUCCGAAAAAAAGCUGAAAUUGAGACGGAAUAUUCCCGGAAUCUAGAGAAGUUAGCAGAAAGGUUCAUGGCAAAAACAAGAAGCACUAAGGAUCAUCAACAAUACAAGAAAGACCAGAACCUGUUGUCUCCAGUGAACUGCUGGUAUUUGCUCCUGAACCAAGUAAGGAGAGAAAGCAAAGACCAUGCAACCUUGAGUGACAUCUAUCUGAACAAUGUGAUUAUGCGGUUCAUGCAGAUAAGUGAGGAUUCUACCAGGAUGUUUAAAAAGAGCAAAGAGAUUGCAUUCCAACUUCAUGAGGAUUUAAUGAAGGUUCUUAAUGAGCUUUAUACGGUGAUGAAAACAUACCAUAUGUAUCAUGCAGAGAGCAUCAGUGCAGAGAGCAAGCUGAAAGAGGCUGAAAAACAAGAGGAAAAGCAAAUUGGGAGAUCUGGUGAUCCGGUCUUCCAUAUUCGACUAGAGGAGAGACAUCAACGGCGAAGCUCUGUAAAGAAAAUUGAAAAAAUGAAAGAAAAAAGACAAGCAAAAUAUUCGGAAAAUAAGCUAAAAUCAAUUAAGGCACGGAACGAAUAUCUCCUAACACUUGAAGCCACCAAUGCCUCAGUUUUCAAGUACUAUAUUCAUGAUCUUUCUGAUUUAAUUGAUUGCUGUGAUCUUGGCUACCAUGCAAGUCUGAACAGAGCCCUAAGAACAUAUCUCUCUGCGGAGUACAACCUUGAAACCUCCAGACAUGAGGGCUUAGACAUUAUUGAGAAUGCAGUUGAUAAUUUAGAGCCCAGGAGCGAUAAGCAGAGAUUCAUGGAGAUGUACCCUGCUGCGUUCUGUCCACCAAUGAAGUUUGAGUUUCAGUCUCACAUGGGUGAUGAGGUGUGCCAGGUCAGUGCCCAGCAGCCAGUCCAGGCAGAGCUCAUGCUCAGGUACCAACAGUUGCAGUCCCGCCUUGCCACACUCAAAAUCGAGAAUGAAGAGGUUAAGAAAACGACUGAAGCCACCUUGCAGACGAUACAAGAUAUGGUCACCAUCGAGGACUAUGAUGUUUCUGAAUGCUUCCAGCACAGUCGUUCCACAGAAUCUGUGAAGUCCACUGUCUCUGAAACCUACCUGAGUAAACCCAGCAUCGCCAAGAGAAGAGCCAACCAGCAGGAAACUGAACAGUUCUACUUCAUGAAACUCAGAGAAUAUUUGGAAGGCAGUAAUCUCAUCACAAAACUUCAAGCCAAACAUGACUUGCUGCAGAGGACCCUGGGAGAAGGUGAGUUAUCCGAAAUGUAUGGGAAGAUGACCUGGAUGAUACGUCGUAUCAUGUAUAUAUUCCAGAAAGUGUAUGAAUUGUAUAUUUGUGCUUUAAGAAGCAAAGGACACUCUGUGUUUAGAUUUGGUUUCGUUUGUGUAUGUCAUGAUCAAGGUCUCCUGGCACGAUUUUCUUUUAAAGCAUGGUGCUAACCUUGAGGAAGCGUAGUGAAAUCUAGGGAGGGCUGGAAAGUCAAUACCGAGCUCCUAGGGAGGGAUCUUCAGAUCGUGGUGCUCCUGAUCGUAGAAAAGUCUGGAGACACUGCCCCUCCCCUACCUGCUGACCCCCCAGUCUCUUCUUCCUUCCCUUCUCAGACUUCUGCACCCUUCCAACCCCACCCCUGUUUGUUUUAAUGGGCGAGUAUUUGUUGUUCCAUCUGUUGCCUGUUUAGACUCUGGAAACCAGUUAAACCAGUUUGGGUGAUUUUUUUCUUCCAGUAGGCAUUGGCUGUAGUUGAGAAACAAUCUUACAGUAUAAGUAGAUUGCUAUGUCUAAUAAUAGUAACAAAAACAACAGCAACAGCUAACACUUGUAAGGCUUUCUCUGCGCCAGGCUUUGUUCUGAGUUGUAUAUUUUACUGUGCGCUAAUAAUUUCUCCAUUUUUACAAAUGAGGAAACUGAGGGGAGGCAUGGGAAUACAGGCAAAGGGGACUGUAUAAAUGUUAAUGUUUCUCUUUGUCUUUAUGAAAUUUAAAAGGAAAAAAAUAAAUACAAGCCAAGUUCCUGUCUUAAGUGCUUCAUAGUCUGUAACUUUAUCUUUUAUUCACACUAGACCCUGCCAGAAGUUAGAAAAAGUAAAAGAGAACGUGGAAGGGAGUGGGAAACGAGAGGACUGAGUUGUGUGAGUAACUCAGGUCAAAAAAGAGAUUGCCCCUCUUAGAGCUAAAUUCUUGCCUCCCACAAUUCUGGAACCUUCCUUAACCAUAAAGUUUCCAUCACCUUAUCUCCUGGUUUCCACCAAAGAACUCAUCAUCCUCAGGGAAUGACCACAUGGAGAAAGGUUAUCAUAACCUAAGAACCAUGUCUGACACAGUUAGGAUGAAAAGGCCAAUUACACCUAGAAGGAAAAAAAAAAAAAAGCAACACUUAAACUACUAAAGAGUGUCAUUAAAAAAUAAAAUAACCAAAUACAAUGUAUGAACCUUCACACACUAGAUUAAAUUAGAUACUGAAUCGAAAAGCAAAAGUUAUGAAAGACAUUUUAAGAACAAUUAGGGACGUUGAAGUACAGACUAUAUUAAAUAAUAUUAUUGAAUUAGUGUUAAUUUUCCUAGAUAUGAUAAUGGUAUUGUGAUUAUAAAGAAGAACAUUCUUAUUCUUAAGAAAUGCUUGCUAAAGUGUCAUGAUGUCUGCAACUUACCUUCAAAUGGUUCUAAAAAAAAAAAGAGGGAGAGAGAAAGAAGGUACAGUCAAUGUGGCAAACAUUAACAGCCGGAAAAUCUACAUGAAGGGGAUAAGGAUGCUUCCUGUACUUCUCUUUUAACUCUUCUGUAGGUUUGAACUUUAAAAAAAAAAAAAAAAA
rnacentral:sRNA from 1 species